CUCAUACGGCUCCUAUAAUGCAGUCGACGCGUCUCCGUUGAUGAUUUCAGGUGCUUGCACUUGAAAGAUUUAACAUUGAGACGAGUGGCGAACUGGUGAGUAACACGUGGGUAACCUGCCCUUGAAGUAGGGGAUAACACUUGGAAACAGGUGCUAAUACCGUAUAACAACCAAAACCACCUGGUUUUGGUUUAAAAGACGGCUUCGGCUGUCACUUUAGGAUGGACCCGCGGCGUAUUAGCUUGUUGGUAAGGUAACGGCUUACCAAGGCGAUGAUACGUAGCCGACCUGAGAGGGUAAUCGGCCACAUUGGGACUGAGACACGGCCCAAACUCCUACGGGAGGCAGCAGUAGGGAAUCUUCCACAAUGGACGAAAGUCUGAUGGAGCAACGCCGCGUGAGUGAUGAAGGGUUUCGGCUCGUAAAACUCUGUUGUUGGAGAAGAACAGGUGUCAGAGUAACUGUUGACAUCUUGACGGUAUCCAACCAGAAAGCCACGGCUAACUACGUGCCAGCAGCCGCGGUAAUACGUAGGUGGCAAGCGUUGUCCGGAUUUAUUGGGCGUAAAGCGAGCGCAGGCGGUUUUUUAGGUCUGAUGUGAAAGCCUUCGGCUUAACCGGAGAAGUGCAUCGGAAACCGGGAGACUUGAGUGCAGAAGAGGACAGUGGAACUCCAUGUGUAGCGGUGAAAUGCGUAGAUAUAUGGAAGAACACCAGUGGCGAAGGCGGCUGUCUGGUCUGUAACUGACGCUGAGGCUCGAAAGCAUGGGUAGCGAACAGGAUUAGAUACCCUGGUAGUCCAUGCCGUAAACGAUGAGUGCUAAGUGUUGGAGGGUUUCCGCCCUUCAGUGCUGCAGCUAACGCAUUAAGCACUCCGCCUGGGGAGUACGACCGCAAGGUUGAAACUCAAAGGAAUUGACGGGGGCCCGCACAAGCGGUGGAGCAUGUGGUUUAAUUCGAUGCUACGCGAAGAACCUUACCA
rnacentral:rRNA from 1 species